CCUACGGGUGGCAGCAGUGGGGAAUAUUGGACAAUGGGCGCAAGCCUGAUCCAGCAACGCCGCGUGGAGGACGAAGGUCUUCGGAUCGUAAACUCCUGUCAGGCGGGACGAAGGCUGCGGGGCGAAUAGUCUCGUAGCUUGACGGUACUGCCAGAGGAAGCCCCGGCUAACUCCGUGCCAGCAGCCGCGGUAAUACGGAGGGGGCGAGCGUUAUUCGGAAUUAUUGGGCGUAAAGGGCGCGUAGGCGGCCUGAUGUGUCAAAGGUGAAAUCCCUCGGCUCAACUGAGGAACUGCCUUUGAAACUGUCGGGCUCGAGUCCGGGAGGGGGUAGCGGAAUUCCCAGUGUAGCGGUGAAAUGCGUAGAUAUUGGGAGGAACACCGGUGGCGAAGGCGGCUACCUGGACCGGAACUGACGCUGAGGCGCGAAAGCGUGGGUAGCA
rnacentral:rRNA from 1 species